GCGCACGGGUGAGUAACACGUGACUAAUCUACCCUCGAGUGGGGAAUAACUGAGAGAAAUCUUAGCUAAGUUACCGCAUAACACUUACGAGUCAAAGCAGCAAUGCGCUUGGGGAGGAGGUCGCGGCCGAUUAGCUAGUUGGCGGGGUAAUGGCCCACCAAGGCGAUGAUCGGUAUCCGGCCUGAGAGGGCGCACGGACACACUGGAACUGAAACACGGUCCAGACUCCUACGGGAGGCAGCAGUGGGGAAUUUUGCGCAAUGGGGGAAACCCUGACGCAGCAACGCCGCGUGGAGGAUGAAGUAUCUUGGUACGUAAACUCCUUUCGAUGGGGAAGAUUAUGACGGUACCCAUAGAAGAAGCCCCGGCUAACUUCGUGCCAGCAGCCGCGGUAAUACGAGGGGGGCAAGCGUUGUUCGGAUUUAUUGGGCGUAAAGGGUGCGUAGGCGGUUUGGCAAGUCUUAUGUGAAAUCUUCGGGCUCAACCCGAAGCCUGCAUAAGAAACUGCCGGGCUUGAGUAUGGGAGAGGUGAGUGGAAUUUCCGGUGUAGCGGUGAAAUG
rnacentral:rRNA from 1 species